UACGAAGGGGGCUAGCGUUGCUCGGAAUCACUGGGCGUAAAGCGCACGUAGGCGGAUUGUUAAGUCAGGGGUGAAAUCCUGGAGCUCAACUCCAGAACUGCCUUUGAUACUGGAAAGCUUGAGUUCGGGAGAGGUGAGUGGAACUGCGAGUGUAGAGGUGAAAUUCGUAGAUAUUCGCAAGAACACCCGUGGCGAAGGCGGCUCUCUGGGACGGUACUGACGCUGAGACGCGAAAGCGUGGGGAGCGAACAGG
rnacentral:rRNA from 1 species